rnacentral:rRNA from 1 species
UUAAGCGACUAAGCGUACACGGUGGAUGCCCUGGCAGUCAGAGGCGAUGAAGGACGUGCUAAUCUGCGAUAAGCGUCGGUAAGGUGAUAUGAACCGUUAUAACCGGCGAUUUCCGAAUGGGGAAACCCAGUGUGAUUCGUCACACUAUCAUUAACUGAAUCCAUAGGUUAAUGAGGCGAACCGGGGGAACUGAAACAUCUAAGUACCCCGAGGAAAAGAAAUCAACCGAGAUUCCCCCAGUAGCGGCGAGCGAACGGGGAGGAGCCCAGAGCCUGAAUCAGUGUGUGUGUUAGUGGAAGCGUCUGGAAAGGCGCGCGAUACAGGGUGACAGCCCCGUACACAAAAAUGCACAUGCUGUGAGCUCGAUGAGUAGGGCGGGACACGUGGUAUCCUGUCUGAAUAUGGGGGGACCAUCCUCCAAGGCUAAAUACUCCUGACUGACCGAUAGUGAACCAGUACCGUGAGGGAAAGGCGAAAAGAACCCCGGCGAGGGGAGUGAAAAAGAACCUGAAACCGUGUACGUACAAGCAGUGGGAGCACAGAGCAAUCUGUGUGACUGCGUACCUUUUGUAUAAUGGGUCAGCGACUUAUAUUCUGUAGCAAGGUUAACCGAAUAGGGGAGCCGAAGGGAAACCGAGUCUUAACUGGGCGUUAAGUUGCAGGGUAUAGACCCGAAACCCGGUGAUCUAGCCAUGGGCAGGUUGAAGGUUGGGUAACACUAACUGGAGGAUCGAACCGACUAAUGUUGAAAAAUUAGCGGAUGACUUGUGGCUGGGGGUGAAAGGCCAAUCAAACCGGGAGAUAGCUGGUUCUCCCCGAAAGCUAUUUAGGUAGCGCCUCGUGAAUUCAUCUCCGGGGGUAGAGCACUGUUUCGGCAAGGGGGUCAUCCCGACUUACCAACCCGAUGCAAACUACGAAUACCGGAGAAUGUUAUCACGGGAGACACACGGCGGGUGCUAACGUCCGUCGUGAAGAGGGAAACAACCCAGACCGCCAGCUAAGGUCCCAAAGUCAUGGUUAAGUGGGAAACGAUGUGGGAAGGCCCAGACAGCCAGGAUGUUGGCUUAGAAGCAGCCAUCAUUUAAAGAAAGCGUAAUAGCUCACUGGUCGAGUCGGCCUGCGCGGAAGAUGUAACGGGGCUAAACCAUGCACCGAAGCUGCGGCAGCGACGCUGAUGCGUUGUUGGGUAGGGGAGCGUUCUGUAAGCCUGCGAAGGUGUGCUGUGAGGCAUGCUGGAGGUAUCAGAAGUGCGAAUGCUGACAUAAGUAACGAUAAAGCGGGUGAAAAGCCCGCUCGCCGGAAGACCAAGGGUUCCUGUCCAACGUUAAUCGGGGCAGGGUGAGUCGACCCCUAAGGCGAGGCCGAAAGGCGUAGUCGAUGGGAAACAGGUUAAUAUUCCUGUACUUGGUGUUACUGCGAAGGGGGGACGGAGAAGGCUAUGUUGGCCGGGCGACGGUUGUCCCGGUUUAAGCGUGUAGGCUGGUUUUCCAGGCAAAUCCGGAAAAUCAAGGCUGAGGCGUGAUGACGAGGCACUACGGUGCUGAAGCAACAAAUGCCCUGCUUCCAGGAAAAGCCUCUAAGCAUCAGGUAACAUCAAAUCGUACCCCAAACCGACACAGGUGGUCAGGUAGAGAAUACCAAGGCGCUUGAGAGAACUCGGGUGAAGGAACUAGGCAAAAUGGUGCCGUAACUUCGGGAGAAGGCACGCUGAUAUGUAGGUGAAGUCCCUCGCGGAUGGAGCUGAAAUCAGUCGAAGAUACCAGCUGGCUGCAACUGUUUAUUAAAAACACAGCACUGUGCAAACACGAAAGUGGACGUAUACGGUGUGACGCCUGCCCGGUGCCGGAAGGUUAAUUGAUGGGGUUAGCGCAAGCGAAGCUCUUGAUCGAAGCCCCGGUAAACGGCGGCCGUAACUAUAACGGUCCUAAGGUAGCGAAAUUCCUUGUCGGGUAAGUUCCGACCUGCACGAAUGGCGUAAUGAUGGCCAGGCUGUCUCCACCCGAGACUCAGUGAAAUUGAACUCGCUGUGAAGAUGCAGUGUACCCGCGGCAAGACGGAAAGACCCCGUGAACCUUUACUAUAGCUUGACACUGAACAUUGAGCCUUGAUGUGUAGGAUAGGUGGGAGGCUUUGAAGUGUGGACGCCAGUCUGCAUGGAGCCGACCUUGAAAUACCACCCUUUAAUGUUUGAUGUUCUAACGUGGACCCGUAAUCCGGGUUGCGGACAGUGUCUGGUGGGUAGUUUGACUGGGGCGGUCUCCUCCUAAAGAGUAACGGAGGAGCACGAAGGUUGGCUAAUCCUGGUCGGACAUCAGGAGGUUAGUGCAAUGGCAUAAGCCAGCUUGACUGCGAGCGUGACGGCGCGAGCAGGUGCGAAAGCAGGUCAUAGUGAUCCGGUGGUUCUGAAUGGAAGGGCCAUCGCUCAACGGAUAAAAGGUACUCCGGGGAUAACAGGCUGAUACCGCCCAAGAGUUCAUAUCGACGGCGGUGUUUGGCACCUCGAUGUCGGCUCAUCACAUCCUGGGGCUGAAGUAGGUCCCAAGGGUAUGGCUGUUCGCCAUUUAAAGUGGUACGCGAGCUGGGUUUAGAACGUCGUGAGACAGUUCGGUCCCUAUCUGCCGUGGGCGCUGGAGAAUUGAGGGGGGCUGCUCCUAGUACGAGAGGACCGGAGUGGACGCAUCACUGGUGUUCGGGUUGUCAUGCCAAUGGCACUGCCCGGUAGCUAAAUGCGGAAGAGAUAAGUGCUGAAAGCAUCUAAGCACGAAACUUGCCCCGAGAUGAGUUCUCCCUGACUCCUUGAGAGUCCUGAAGGAACGUUGAAGACGACGACGUUGAUAGGCCGGGUGUGUAAGCGCAGCGAUGCGUUGAGCUAACCGGUACUAAUGAACCGUGAGGCUUAACCUU